CCUGUCCGACGGCCAUGUGUUUACCUCGCCAGGGCACGGCAGUGGGGCGCCCUCCUUUCUCGCAUUCCUGGCGCGGCGGCUGCUCGGCGGAUUGCAAAGAGGCAGGUGGAGGAGCUCACCAAGUAGCCCGCCGGAGUCAGAGGGCGUUCGAGGAUAGGGACAAGCCGGCGGCGCGAGCUCUGCCUCCGGGGAGAGGCCGAGGGGCGAUGCAUCUUUGGCCUUGAGACAAGAACCGAGACCAAAUUAGGUGCAUCAAAAACUUCAGAUCGAUUUUCGGCGGCUUCGCUCAAGGCCGACGAUUGGGCGCGUGUGGUGGCAGUUCGAGGAGUGGGGCGACAUCUUCUGGUGGAUUGUUGUGUGUGCUCUGGUCUGAAAGUUUGUGCUUGGAAGGAGUGGCAACAUCUUCAGGUGGAAGGAGUGGCAGUUCAAGGACAUCUUCAGCAGUGGUCUGAAUUGAUUCAGGAAUUCUGCACGCCAUCCAAAUUGAUUUACUAAAUAUUGGAUGUUCAGCACUCUCCUGAGGUGAAUAAUGUAUUGAAAGAGAUGUCAUCAUCAGAGGAUGAGCAAGUUGAACACGGCACUGUAGAACAUGAAUUGUUUUCCAUGCCAUCUGAUGCCAUGGAGCAUGGAACAAAAUUGUUUUCCAUGCCAUCUGAUGCCAUGGAGCAUGGAACAAAUAGCAGCAGCAGCACAUAGCAGCAGAUCAAUCUACAGGCAACUGUACCUUCUUCAGAGUGCAAAUAGCAGCAGCAGCAACACGGCGCAGUCACUUGGACCAGCAGCAGCAGCAACACGGCAUGUUCACUUGGAUCAGCAGCAGCAGCACAGGCAGAGGAGCAGCAGCAUCAACACGGGCAGAGGAGCAGCAGCAGCACGGGCUAGCUCCACCGGCGGCAGGGGAGAAGCAGAGGAGAAACAGAGCAGCAGCAGGCACGCGGCCAGAUGAGAAGGAGCAGCACGGCAGCCGGUGGGAGCUCGACGAGGACUUGCGGGAGAUAGAGGAGGACGCGCGCAAGCUCUUGUCCACCGGAUCGUGGAGGCCGGUUCCGGCGAUGCCCGUAGGAGAUCACGGCGGGAGGGAUCGCGGCGGCACACGGGAGGCAGCUCAAGGUGAGAGGAGGACUCGCGGUAGCUCGAGGAAGAUGAGAGGGAGCUCCUGCUCCGCCGGAUCGUGGUGGGAAAUUCCGGCGACGUCCGCAGGUAAUCCGGCGAGUGGGGAUCGCUGCGGCACAGGUUCGGGCGGCGGCGGCGGCAAAGGUACUUGGCACGGCGGCGGCGGCAAAGGUACGUGGUGACGGAGGCGGAGCACUUCCUGAUGGGCGCCAAAUCACGCAGCUUGGCGGCGCCGGCCCCUAGCGACGCACGGGCGACGGCGGAGGAAGAAGACGGGGGUGGAGGGACUUGUUUGCGACGGUUUGGAAACUACGAGUUUUUUUUGCAAAAUCACCAAUGAACUACGGGCACGACAUGUUUUUCGGGACGGAGGGAGUACUAACCUGGCAAUCUAUCACGACAAAAUCAAGUUCAUAGACUGCAUCAUUAUCUGAGUUUCUGACUCCCAGAUACUUGCAAACCACAUCAUAAUUUCGCACUUAUAAGAUUGCCUAGAAUAUAGCUCAUAUUGAUGCACCCCAACCUACAACAUCAGCAACAUUCAUUAGAGGAUACAAUGAAAAUUAAGAAUAAAAAUACUGUUGAUAUUAAGGGAAAACAUGGCAGACCAGCAAAUCUUGUGCCAGUAAAAAAUUUGAGCUAAUAGAAGAUGAUGAACAAACAAAUAUAGUCAAGCUACUUUCUUCACCAUGAGAUCCCAUGUAUUGAAGUAACUACUAAAUAUGUCAUUUUCAGUUUAGUAGCCUAAAUGUACCCUCACUCAUGGUGCAAUGCCAUGAUGCAUAGAAGAUUUUUUACGAAAAAAUUGCAACCUAUAUUAACAUAUGGGAAGAUUGUUUCAUGUAUAGGGGAGAUCUAGUGGCUUACCAACCAACCGGACAAUGAGAGCAAGAUGUACCAUACAACUCACGGCUUCAGCUGUUGUACCCCGUGUGCUUGUCAAUCAGCAAGUGCACACAACCUAAGUGCCAGCAGGUGCUUGAUCGCUUACCAGAUCCUGUCGGUAUAUCUGGUGCCAGCGCCAUCCGCCGGCAUGGACCUCACGUACCCACAGAGUGCCAGCGUUCAACGCGUCCGCCCUCCUCGUGCAGUUGCCUGGGUGUGUCUACUCGUGUUCAGGCUGUCGCAAAAGCGCAACUGAAGAUCGUUGGCGCCGACUGUCUCCUCCAGAACCGCUUGUACCAGGGCUGACCCCAUGGAGGCAGGAGGCUUACCGCGCAGGCUAGGACACAAAGAGGCUGGCGGUGGCAAAGCCCACAAGAGGCCAUCGAUGAUCUCGAGCAGCUCCCCACUGGAAGCGAUAGGAAGGCCCGAUAGGACGCGCAUCUUCCAGACCAUGCAUACGCCGCCAUCCUGUGCAAGAGCAAGCAGCCAAUUCACAGGUCAGGCCCAAUAUUCAGCACACAAACUUAUGUAAAAUACAAAGAAAUUUACCAAGGUCAGGCCCUCUUUAUACUCCGUA